GUGAGGAAUAUUGGUCAAUGGGCGAGAGCCUGAACUAGCCAAGUCGCGUGAAGGAAGAAGGAUCUAUGGUUCGUAAACUUCUUUUGCAGGGGAAUAAAGUGCAGGACGUGUCCUGUUUUGUAUGUACCCUGAGAAUAAGGAUCGGCUAACUCCGUGCCAGCAGCCGCGGUAAUACGGAGGAUCCGAGCGUUAUCCGGAUUUAUUGGGUUUAAAGGGUGCGUAGGUGGUUUGAUAAGUCAGCGGUGAAAGUUUGCAGCUUAACUGUAAAAAUGCCGUUGAAACUGUCGGAGUUGAGUGUAAAUGAGGUAGGAGGAAUGCGUGGUGUAGCGGUGAAAUGCAUAGAUAUCACGCAGAACUCCGAUUGCGAAGGCAGCUUACUAAGCUACAACUGACACUGAAGCACGAAAGCGUGGGGAUCAAACAGGAUUAGAAACCCCGGUAGUCC
rnacentral:rRNA from 1 species